UGUGUAGGCGGAAGCGUAAGCGUCUUGUGAAAUCCCUCGGCUUAACCGAGGAAUUGCUUGACGAACUGCCCUUCUUGAGGCAGGUAGGGGUGCGCAGAACUCUUGGUGGAGCGGUGGAAUGCGUAGAUAUCAAGAGGAAUGCCGGUGGAGAAGUCGGUGCACUGGGCCUGACCUGACGCUGAGACACGAAAGCGUGGGGAGCGAACAGGAUUAGAUACCCUGGUAGUCC
rnacentral:rRNA from 1 species